UACGGCCGCAUCACAUUGAAACACCAGUUCCUGUGCAAUCACUGAAGUUAAGCAGUGUUGAGUAUGAUUAGUACCUUGGCGGGUGACUGCUUGGGAAUACCAGGUGCUGUAA